rnacentral:rRNA from 1 species
UACGUAGGGUGCGAGCGUUAAUCGGAUUUACUGGGCGUAAAGUGUGCGCAGGCGGCCCCGCAAGUCGAGUGUGAAAUCCCCGGGCUUAACUUGGGAAUUGCGCUCGAAACUACGAGGCUUGAGUGUGGCAGAGGGGGGUGGAAUUCCACGUGUAGCGGUGAAAUGCGUAGAGAUGUGGAGGAACACCAAUGGCGAAGGCAGCCCCCUGGGCCAACACUGACGCUCAUGCACGAAAGCGUGGGGAGCAAACAGG